GUGGGGAAUAUUCCGCAAUGGACGAAAGUCUGACGGAGCAACGCCGCGUGAGUGAUGAAGGUUUUCGGACUGUAAAGCUCUGUUGUUUAGGACGAAAGUGCCUGUUGCAAACAGUUACAGGUAUUGACGGUACUAAACGAGGAAGCCACGGCUAACUACGUGCCAGCAGCCGCGGUAAUACGUAGGUGGCAAGCGUUGUCCGGAAUUAUUGGGCGUAAAGAGCAUGUAGGCGGGAAUCUAAGUCUGUUGUGAAAAUGCGGGGCUCAACCCCGUAUUGCGAUGGAAACUGGGUUUCUUGAGUGCAGGAGAGGAAAGGGGAAUUCCCAGUGUAGCGGUGAAAUGCGUAGAUAUUGGGAGGAACACCAGUGGCGAAGGCGCCUUUCUGGACUGUGUCUGACGCUGAGAUGCGAAAGCCAGGGUAGCGAACGGGAUUAGAAACCCUAGUAGUCC
rnacentral:rRNA from 1 species